rnacentral:lncRNA from 1 species
UGCGCGCAUGUGUGCGAUCAAUGUGUACAUCAAUAGAAAAUAGAAAUAGUAAAAUCUUCAGUUUGAACUCGGCUUGAACGUCGUGUACUGCGGCGGCUUCUCGAUCUUGCAGUGGGGCUUCAGGGUUGCUAAACGAUCUGGUUUGAGAAACAGCUGCUCCCCCUGCACAAUUUUCAUCUUAAGGAUCUUAAGAGAAUACGAAUCUGGUCGCGUUCAAGGCACGCGUAUAACCAGAAGCAUCGGACAAAUAAAACUCUACAGGUUAUGAACGAAGUGGCAUCAAUGAUAGUUUCGAGAUGCGAGCAGCAAAGCUAAUUAAUCGUUACAAUGAUUUUGCGCAAUGAUAAUGACGAUUCGCGAUCGGACGAAGUGCAAAUGAGAUGAAAUGGAGGAAAGAGAAAGAGAGAGAAAGAAUGAAUGAAACAGAAAGAGUGGGAGAGAAGAACGUCUCGAUGAAUAUAAAAGGAUUGCCAGAUCCGGCCGCACGACUCGCGACUCCAAUCCUCGCCUUCCACCACCAGCGGAGCGUACCAGAGGCGCGUUUCCGGCAUCCGAGAUUAAAACGAAAUCGCUUCGCCACCUUUUUUCCCCUUCUCUUUUCCUUUUUCUUCUUUUUAACUUUUAAUCCUUCCCGAUGUUUCGUGAUAAUAAACGAACAAACAGAACAA